AGAACGAACGCUGGCGGCAUGCCUAACACAUGCAAGUCGAACGAGACCUUCGGGUCUAGUGGCGCACGGGUGCGUAACGCGUGGGAAUCUGCCCUUGGGUUCGGAAUAACAGUUGGAAACGACUGCUAAUACCGGAUGAUGACGAAAGUCCAAAGAUUUAUCGCCCAGGGAUGAGCCCGCGUAGGAUUAGCUAGUUGGUGAGGUAAAGGCUCACCAAGGCGACGAUCCUUAGCUGGUCUGAGAGGAUGAUCAGCCACGCUGGGACUGAGACACGGCCCAGACUCCUACGGGAGGCAGCAGUAGGGAAUAUUGGACAAGUGGGCGAAAGCCUGAUCCAGCAAUGCCGCGUGAGUGAUGAGCUUAGGUGUAAGCUCUUUACCCGAGUAUGAUAAUGAACAGUA
rnacentral:rRNA from 1 species